rnacentral:rRNA from 1 species
CCUACGGGACGCAGCAGUGAGGAAUAUUGGUCAAUGGUCGGGAGACUGAACCAGCCAAGCCGCGUGAGGGAUGAAGGUACAGAGUAUCGUAAACCUCUUUUGUCAGGGAACAAAGGCGGGGACGUGUCCCCGGAUGAGUGUACCUGAAGAAAAAGCAUCGGCUAACUCCGUGCCAGCAGCCGCGGUAAUACGGAGGAUGCGAGCGUUAUCCGGAUUUAUUGGGUUUAAAGGGUGCGUAGGCGGACGCUUAAGUCAGCGGUAAAAUUGCGGGGCUCAACCUCGUCGAGCCGUUGAAACUGGGUGCC